rnacentral:tRNA from 1 species
GUCCCCAUCUCGCUAGCGGCCCAGGCGGCCGGAUUUUCGCUCCGGAGACGCGGGUUCGAAUCCCGCUGGGGACACCG